rnacentral:rRNA from 1 species
GUGAGGAAUUUUGCGCAAUGGGGGCAACCCUGACGCAGCGACGCCGCGUGGAGGACGAAGUCUUUCGGGAUGUAAACUCCUGUCAGUGGGGACGAUAAUGACGGUACCCACAGAGGAAGCACCGGCUAACUCCGUGCCAGCAGCCGCGGUAAGACGGAGGGUGCAAGCGUUGUUCGGAAUUACUGGGCGUAAAGCGUAUGUAGGCGGCAAGUUAAGUUCAAUGUUAAAGCCGACGGCUCAACCGAGGAGAUGCAUUUAAUACUGGCUAGCUAGAGGGUGUUAGAGGAAGACGGAAUUCCCAGUGUAGCGGUGAAAUGCGUAGAUAUUGGGAGGAACAUCGGUAGCGAAAGCGGUCUUCUGGGACAUACCUGACGCUGAGGUACGAAAGCGUGGGGAGCAAACGGGAUUAGAUACCCGAGUAGUCC